UUCCGCCUAAAGAGAAGCUUGCGGCUGAUUAGCUUGUUGGUAAGGCAAUGGCUUACCAAGGCGACGAUCAGUAUCUGGUUUGAGAGGACGAUCAGACACACUGGAACUGAGACACGGUCCAGACUCCUACGGGAGGCAGCAGUGGGGAAUUUUCCGCAAUGGGCGAAAGCCUGACGGAGCAAUACCGCGUGAGGGAUGAAUGCCUAUGGGUUGUAAACCUCUUUUUUCAGGGAGGAACAAAAUGACGUGUACCUGAAGAAUAAGCAUCGGCUAACUCCGUGCCAGCAGCCGCGGUAAGACGGAGGAUGCAAGUGUUAUCCGGAAUCACUGGGCCGUAAAGCGUCUGUAGGUGGUUUAAUUAAGUCAACUGUUAAAUCUUGAGGCUCAACCUCGAAACCCGCA
rnacentral:rRNA from 1 species